UACGGAGGGGGCUAGCGUUGUUCGGAAUUACUGGGCGUAAAGCGCACGUAGGCGGCUUUGUAAGUUAGAGGUGAAAGCCCAGGGCUUAACCCUGGAAUUGCCUUUAAGACUGCAUCGCUAGAAUUGUGGAGAGGUAAGUGGAAUUCCGAGUGUAGAGGUGAAAUUCGUAGAUAUUCGGAAGAACACCAGUGGCGAAGGCGGCUGACUGGACAUGUAUUGACGCUGAGGUGCGAAAGCGUGGGGAGCAAACAGG
rnacentral:rRNA from 1 species